AUGAUUAAAGACAGGAAUGAGCUACUAGGUGAAGGUAUGUGGCAUCUUCAUCCCUGGAGAUUGUGGAGAACCCUCAGUCCCAGAUUGACUAAUUGUUCACCUGCCUCUAGAGAAGGGGUAAGCAAACAAUCUUUCAAGGUUUCUUUCCACUGCUGUGAUUUUACACUGAUUAGCAGAUACCUGUUAUAUAUUCCUCCUAACAUUCCUGAUCCAAAUUGCAAUCUGUUCCUUGCCUGCUUUUUUUCUUUGCAGUGUGGUGCAAAGCUAUUUUUAUUUUCCAUUAAUUCAGUAGGAAUAGCAGAUCAGGUGAAAAUUGACUUGUGGUAUCUACUAUUGAGGAUCUACAGGCUGUUUAGUGGACAUCUCCCAAGUUUCUGUUAAGAAAACUGCAGAAGUCGUCAAACUUCGGUUGCAAAGAAUACAAAAGUGUCACUUUUAAAUUAAUACCAAAAUCUGUCUAGAAACAAACCAACCACUGCAAAUUUGGUUUUACAUGGUGAUUAAAUCAAAAGGUACUUGUGCUAUUGAAUUUUAAAUAGUCUUAACUUUUUCUAGAUCUGAAAGAACAGUAUGAGAAAAUAAAAGCUUCACAAGCAGUUUCAAUAUGACAGCACUGGUUGAACAAGUGUGCAUAUGUGGCAGGCAGUAUUCAAAAAUAGGCUAAACUCCUAUUUCCAAUGUCUUGGAAAACCUAAAAGCAAUUAACAUUUGUUUUUAUGAAUAGCUACAAUGUUCUGAAUUGCCAUCAAGUAGAUUUUUCAGACUAUUUUCAUGAAUCUAUCGCUUAAAAUCAACUCAUUUUCUUAUUGUCAGUCCCACUACUAAAUUGAAGCCUACCCACGUAAAAAGAAUUGCACUUUGCAGCCAAAAACUAACAGUGAUUUGGAUUCAACAUUAUAUAUGCCUUUUUGCUUUCUUCCAGGAUUAACUAACACUUCAAUUGUCUAGCACUUCUUGCUAAGCUUCUUCCUUUAUUCAUUUUUCAUCACUGAUUGUAUACUGAAGGGGUUAUAUUACCUCCCUUCAAAAGUUCAUGUUUUACAUAAGUGUAAAACUAAAGUGUCUGCAUAAUAUGCUAUUGUCACCAUUCCAUAAACACCUUAUAAGCAUUCUGUAGCAAAUUCACAUUAAUAAACUGACAGAGAACUUGUUCAAAGUUUGUUGGCUUGAAGUUCCCUAACGCGGUUCUGAGGGUGACCCCAAAAAGAUUGUGGGGGGUGGGGGGAGAGAAUACAUCAUUAGGUUCUGGGCACCUGACAGGAGUACUUCAACAAACAGUUGCUGCUCCUGUAGACUGUAAGCUCCUUGUGGGCAGGGAUCACGUCUACCAACUCUGUUGGACUGUACUUUCCCAAGCGUUUAGCAAAGUGCUCUGCACUCAGUAGGCACUCAAUACAUACCACUGAUUGAUUGAUUCCCAACAAUACCAUAUGUAGGGCCUGGUCAUUUAAACCACUUAGAUUCCUAAGCACUGAAUAAUGACAACAUUAAGCCCUUUAAGGCUUUUGUUUUGAGGCUGCCUUGAGCCAAACGUAUUAUACAACUUCUGAGCAACAUGGGCAUUCUCAAAAAUGAAUGAUACUCGGCUGAUGAUUUUUGCCACAUUUAAAAAUUCCCCCUCUGCCCCCCACAAAAUCCUUAGAAGCACAACACAACACAACACACACACACACACACACAAAGAGCUCAAGGCUGAAUUUAUGAAAACAGAUUUCCAGUAUAGUAUUCAAAUAUGGAAAGUUUAGGACAGUACUGACCCUGCUGAGACUCACUCAGAAAAUAUUUUACAUCUUAAAUGUGAGAGCCCCCUUUCUGCCUCUUCAAAAUUUUAUCUUAGAAAGGCAACUUAGAAAGAGACUCUGUGGGAGGGACAAGCCAAUCUCCCUUGGCAUACGGAUUUAAUGGAUCAUUCUACCCUUUGAGAAAUGACAUUUCUUUGGAAAUCUUGAUAUUUUUUCCCCAUAUUAAUUCUUUGCAUUUGGUUAUCUUUUAUCAAAACUAAAAUUUUUAUAUUCCUAUUAACCUGAAUCUUCAAAAAAAUCUAUAGAAUGUUUUGUCUCAUAAAAAGUAUCCCACCCCCACUCCCCAAUACUUUAUUGUCCUUUUACUGGGCAUCAGUGGCUUUGAACAAACUUUUAAAAGUUACAACUCCUGGCAGCUUCUUCUCCCAAAUUACUUGCAAAUAGACGGGACAGAAUAUAGGCUGUUUUGUCUUUUUGAGUUAUGCUACCCUUUUGUAUUCCAUUCCUGGAACAUUGCAAUAAAAAUCCUAAAGCCUUAGUCCCUUCUUGAAAGGUUCGUUCACUGUGCCCCACUCUGUGAUUCCCUUAGAAGGCUUCUCAACUCAUUUUGCCUAACUGCUGGUUAGUGACCUACAGAAGACAUCAGUGUAAAAAAUAAAAUAAAAUAAAAAAAAAUAAAUCUACAGCAAUGUUCAUCCCACCACAUUCUUCUACCCCGCCAUUCUAUGUCAAAUAGUGGCAAUAUGAUUUUUUUCCUGCAAGGAAAAUCUCACAGAAUUGUAGCAAGCAGCCCAGACCACUUUUAACACUGACAAAAGCAAUUCUGUGGCUGAACUUGAUCCAGUGUCUAUUAAGAGAUAUUUACUGCUACAGACAUGGCUUCAGGAAAUUCUACAUUAAAAUAGCAGUCCAGAAGAGUUCUAGACCUGAGGACCAUGGGCAGCUGGGAUAAACUCAAAGGCAUCGUGGAGUCCAGAGUGCCAGAUAGAGGUUUUACUUGUAGUGAAAACUGUCCAGUUCUUUUCU
rnacentral:lncRNA from 1 species